AACGAACGCUGGCGGCAUGCCUAACACAUGCAAGUCGAACGAGACCUUCGGGUCUAGUGGCGCACGGGUGCGUAACGCGUGGGAACCUGCCUUUAGGUUCGGAAUAACUCAGAGAAAUUUGAGCUAAUACCGGAUGAUGUCUUCGGACCAAAGAUUUAUCGCCUUUAGAUGGGCCCGCGUUGGAUUAGCUAGUUGGUGGGGUAAAGGCCUACCAAGGCGACGAUCCAUAGCUGGUCUGAGAGGAUGAUCAGCCACACUGGGACUGAGACACGGCCCAGACUCCUACGGGAGGCAGCAGUGGGGAAUAUUGGACAAUGGGCGAAAGCCUAAUCCAGCAAUGCCGCGUGAGUGAUGAAGGCCUUAGGGUUGUAAAGCUCUUUUACCCGAGAUGAUAAUGACAGUACCGGGAGAAUAAGCUCCGGCUAACUCCGUG
rnacentral:rRNA from 1 species